UGGGGAAUAUUGCACAAUGGGCGAAAGCCUGAUGCAGCGACGCCGCGUGAGUGAAGAAGUAUUUCGGUAUUUAAAGCUCUAUCAGCAGGGAAGAAAAUGACGGUACCUGACUAAGAAGCCCCGGCUAACUACGUGCCAGCAGCCGCGGUAAUACGUAGGGGGCAAGCGUUAUCCGGAUUUACUGGGUGUAAAGGGAGCGUAGACGGCGAAGCAAGUCUGAAGUGAAAACCCAGGGCUCAACCCUGGGACUGCUUUGGAAACUGUUUUGCUAGAGUGUCGGAGAGGUAAGUGGAAUUCCUAGUGUAGCGGUGAAAUGCGUAGAUAUUAGGAGGAACACCAGUGGCGAAGGCGGCUUACUGGACGAUAACUGACGUUGAGGCUCGAAAGCGUGGGGAGCAAACAGG
rnacentral:rRNA from 1 species